GCUUCGGUGGAUCAGCGGUAGAAUGCUCACCUGCCACGCGGGUGGUCCGGGUUCGGUUCCCGACCGAUGCA
rnacentral:tRNA from 1 species